UUAAUUGAAACCAAAAUAGAGGUAAAUUAUUGUUAAUAAUUUAAUUGAAUAAAAUUUCCAAUUAAU
rnacentral:tRNA from 1 species